UACAGAGGUCUCAACCGUUGUUCGGAUUCAUUGGGCGUAAAGCGCGCGCAGGCGGUCCUUUAAGUCUGAUGUGAAAGCCCACGGCUCAACCGUGGAGGGUCAUUGGAAACUGGGGGACUUGAGUACAGAAGAGAAGAGUGGAAUUCCACGUGUAGCGGUGAAAUGCGUAGAGAUGUGGAGGAACACCAGUGGCGAAGGCGACUCUUUGGUCUGUAACUGACGCUGAGGCGCGAAAGCGUGGGGAGCAAACAGG
rnacentral:rRNA from 1 species